AGAUUGAACGCUGGCGGCAUGCCUUACACAUGCAAGUCGAACGGCAGCACGGGAGCAAUCCUGGUGGCGAGUGGCGAACGGGUGAGUAAUAUAUCGGAACGUGCCCAGUCGUGGGGGAUAACGCAGCGAAAGCUGUGCUAAUACCGCAUACGAUCUAUGGAUGAAAGCGGGGGAUCGCAAGACCUCGCGCGAUUGGAGCGGCCGAUAUCAGAUUAGCUAGUUGGUGGGGUAAAAGCCUACCAAGGCGACGAUCUGUAGCUGGUCUGAGAGGACGACCAGCCACACUGGAACUGAGACACGGUCAGACUCCUACGGGAGCAGCAGUGGGGAAUUUGGACAAGUGGGCGCAAGCCUGACUCCAGCAAUG
rnacentral:rRNA from 1 species